rnacentral:rRNA from 1 species
GACGUAGGGUGCAAGCGUUAAUCGGAUUACUGGGCGUAAAGCGUGCGUAGACGGUUACAUAAGUCGGACGUGAAAUCCCUCGGCUCAACCGGGGAACUGCGUCCGAUACUGGUGGGCUCGAAUCCGGGAGAGGGAUGCGGAAUUCCAGGUGUAGCGGUGAAAUGCGCAGAUAUCAGGAAGAACACCAAUGGCGAAAGCAGGCUCUCUGGGACGGUACUGGACGCUGAG